rnacentral:tRNA from 1 species
GGACUGUGGCUCAGCGGUAGAGCACUCGCCUAGCAUGUGCAAAGCCCUGGGUUUGAUCCUCAGCACCA